rnacentral:rRNA from 1 species
UACGUAGGGGGCAAGCGUUGUCCGGAUUUAUUGGGCGUAAAGAGCGUGUAGGCGGCCUUACAGGUCAGCUGUGAAAACUCGAGGCUCAACCUCGAGACGUCGGUUGAAACCGUAAGGCUAGAGUCCGGAAGAGGAGAGUGGAAUUCCCGGUGUAGCGGUGAAAUGCGCAGAUAUCGGGAAGAACACCCGUGGCGAAGGCGGCUCUCUGGGACGGUACUGACGCUGAG